rnacentral:lncRNA from 1 species
UCUGGUGUAUUUGAAAGGAGCACAUGUGACUCCUGUGAAUCAUAAGCAUAAAUUCCGGCCACCAGGCCUGCUCGUGAGAUCUGUACAGUUUCUGCUGGUGAGUCAUCUGAUUGCCAAAGUAAUACAUGCAGCUUUUCAGUAUGAUUUCAUCAGAUUCUAGGUCCAAUUGAUACUUAGAUGCCUGUGAUGUCAAUUCCUUUUCCAUAAUCUAAUACAGUGAAAACUGUUUCCCUGAAUAUUUUCAACAUGAAUGUGCAAAGAGUAAUUUAGGCUGAUGCAAUCGGCUAUAAAUCACCUGAGCCGAGAUUCAUUUAGAAUGAUCUAAUGAAAACAUGGACUCCCCAUAUUCACAGCAGAGAAGUUUUUCACAUUGAACACAGACCAGAGAAGUGUUUCCACUAAUUUAUAGGAUGAAAAAAAAAAAAAAACUACUGCCUUUCAUUUCUCUACUCUUCCGACAACUCUGAGAACAAUGGUUCCUGAGAGUGACAAUAUCUGAGGAAAGAGCAGGUCCUGCAACCAACGAGAAAUUCUCCUGCAGCAUUUCAAAGCAGGCAAGAUGGAGAGUAUUUGAGCGGUCAAAUAGAGGAUAUGAGAAGAAAAAAAGAAUAACUUCUAUGUGGAAAAAUCAAUCCAACUGUCUAUCCUCUCAGGAAAAAUUUUCAGAUCAAUCCAACUGUCUAUCCUCUCAGGAAAAUUAGAGGAGCAGUGAUCCUUCUUCUAUUCCAAUUGGUGGCAUUUCAGGCACACCCCACAGCUUCUCUGACUACUUCUAUUUCUCAAUCUAGUUCCAGGACCAACUUAAUCACACUUCCAUCUCAGAUCCAAUUCACAUCUCUCCCUUCCCCCCUCCCCCAGAGCAGGCCUGGUGUGAGAUAGGUAGGCAGGGAUGGGAAGGGAGGCUGGGUCUGAUUUUGUUGUUGAUGUUAUCUCUGCGUUCUUCCUCAUCUACCAUUCUUUGGUGGGUUCUAGCCUAUCAAGCAUCAUCCUGUAAGUCAAGGGACCAUGUGAUUAGAGGAAACUCUAUGUGAUGGGUGUUAUGGUAAUUAGACCUUCUCUUCCUUCCUUGUAGCAGAAACAACAAGCUGACUCUUUUGUGCCAUUUAUUGGGUUCUUAGGCAAACACUCUCCCACUCUCUUUCCUGCUAACAAUUCAUUGUUGGGUUUUUUUUUUUUUUUUUGAGAUAGAAUCUCACUCUGUCUCUCAAGCUGGAGUAAAGUGGCACAAUCUGGGCUCACUGCAGCCUCAACCUCCUGAGCACAGGUGAUUCUCCCACCUCAGUCUUCUGGAGUAGCUGGGACUACAGGUGCGUGCCACCAGGCCUGGCUACUUUUUGUAUUUUUUUGUACAGAAAGAGUCUCAUCAUGUUGCCCAGGGUGGUCUCGAACUCCUGGGCUCCAGGGAUCUACCCCACCACCGAUUUUGGCCUCCUUAAGUGCUAGGAUUACAGGUGUGAGCCACCACACCUAGCCACAGUUUAUUUUCUGAUGACUGUGUCAUAUUUUCUGGUUAAUCUCCUUCAUUUCUCCCUCCACUGCUUCUCUUUGAAGGCACAAGUGUGGUGACACUGUACCCACCAAUGUAGCCUUUGUAGUAGAGUGCUUUUAGUACCACCAGAGUCUGGCUUCUUUAGUCUAAAGGAAAACUCAGUUACCUGCCCCUUCAAACUCUGUCCUUACUCCUUUCCUGUCUCCUCAUCCUGCCUAUUCAUGCUGCUUCAGCCUGCCUUUUGCUUUCUGACUUCUCCAAGAGAAAGGAAAACAUGAGCACCAGUCUCAAUGCUCCACAAAUUCCAAAGGACAUAUUGAAAGCUUUUUUCAGAAAUAUUCUUUCACUGUGCUCUUGUGGCAGCAAAGAACAGGUUGACAAAUUUCUCUACAAAUAUCCUGCUGGGGCAUAAGAUUCCAAUCUGCCUUCUUCAGAGAACUCUGUAUUCUGUCUGUGGCUCACUUGAGGAAGAAAGGGAGAAUGCCAGACAGUCUUAAACGUUCCCAGUGUCAUCAAAGACAAUUCCCUCAAUGAAUCUCUAGCCUUGUGUUAUUUUGAAUGAGGAAGGAGUUUUGUUGAUAGAGCAGAGUGGCCGCACCUUAGUAAGUCUUUUGGGAGUAUGUUUAGUGCUUCUCUUAAAAGGUGAAGGUGUCAGUCACUCAUUGUUCUCACAUUUGAUGAUUUAGGCUGAAAUUCCAAGACAAUAGGGAAAACCUUGUUUUGAAUUUGCUUGUAUCAUGUAAUUAUUUCUUCUAUUUUUCUGAAUUCCUCUAACCCACAGCACGGUUUCAGACACCUAAAUAGCCACAUAGAAAUAGUAGAAGGCUCAAUAAGCUUAUUUAUGUUUAAAUAAAUUAGCACCUUCCAGGCAAAAUAUAAAUAACAAAAUACUUUAUGCAAUUUUUUCUCUCACUGUAAUUAAAAUUUUCUACUGUAACAAUACAGAACUGCUGCUUGUUUAAGCAAUUAGUCUACAUAAGCCUUUUCUUAUCCAUAGUAAUUUGUAUUCAUUGAAAAGCACAUGUCCUUGGAAUUACUGAGCACGCAUAAUGACAUUCCAAGACCUUGAGGCACCAUUUCUUUCCUCCUUAUUUGACUGGGGAUUUAAGUAUGGCUUACCACAUAUACCAUUUCUACAUGACUGUGUACAAUAUGAAAAAGAGUCUUUUGGAAAUGACAUAGAUAGGCUUUUUGGAGAUAAAAGUAAACUAAUCAGAAUCUGUAAUUCAUUCACGUGAACCAAUAAAUCUGGGUUCUGAAAGAUAUUAAAUUAGGUCUGAAAUAAAUCAAGUGGCAGUGUGAAAAGAAUUUUAAUGAUGGUGGAAGGUAUUUCCCAGCAGGACUACUUACUGUGUGUGUGUGUGUGUGUGUGUGUGUGUGUGUGCACAAUAUGAGGUGUAUCUCCACUAUGGAAAUGACAAGUGUAGUGGAGGGUGGACAAUAUCAUGGAUUCUUAGAUUCAAAGAAAUUAUUUUUAAGGCAAUUUACAUUGAUCUUUUUAAAUCAACCACAUUCUUAAUAAUAAAGUCAAAAUUGUAAUUCAUGUCUAUGAAUCAGUAUUGAAUCUACUAUUUACCAAGGUUAUUUGAGCAUCUCUGUGACUAAUUUUCAUACAAACAUAGUGACUGAGUCACUAUUGUAACUGAAAUCUCUCCGUUUUCUUAUCAUUGAAGAUGACCAUUAAACCUGGGUUUUAAAAAAUUCUGUCAAAAUGUUUAAAAUUAAAGCCAUGAAUGUGAUACAAC